rnacentral:rRNA from 1 species
CGUGCCCUGCGGAAUAGCUCCGGGAAACUGGAAUUAAUACCGCAUACGCCCUACGGGGGAAAGAUUUAUCGGGGUAUGAUGAGCCCGCGUUGGAUUAGCUAGUUGGUGGGGUAAAGGCCUACCAAGGCGACGAUCCAUAGCUGGUCUGAGAGGAUGAUCAGCCACAUUGGGACUGAGACACGGCCCAAACUCCUACGGGAGGCAGCAGUGGGGAAUAUUGGACAAUGGGCGCAAGCCUGAUCCAGCCAUGCCGCGUGAGUGAUGAAGGCCUUAGGGUUGUAAAGCUCCUUCACCGGUGAAGAUAAUGACGGUAACCGGAGAAGAAGCCCCGGCUAACUUCGUGCCAGCAGCCGCGGUAAUACGAAGGGGGCUAGCGUUGUUCGGAAUUACUGGGCGUAAAGCGCACGUAGGCGGAUAUUUAAGUCAGGGGUGAAAUCCCAGAGCUCAACUCUGGAACUGCCUUUGAUACUGGGUAUCUUGAGUAUGGAAGAGGUAAGUGGAAUUGCGAGU